rnacentral:tRNA from 1 species
GAGGGUAGAGCUCAGUGGUAGAGCAUGUGCUUAACAUGCACAAGGUCCUGGGUUCAAUCCCCAGAACUUCCA